GAUGAACGCUGGCGGCGUGCCUAAUACAUGCAAGUCGAGCGAAUGGAUUAAGAGCUUGAUCUUAUGAAGUUAGCGGCGGACGGGUGAGUAACACGUGGUAACCUGCCAAUAAGACUGGGAUAACUCCGGGACACCGGGGCUAAUACUGGAUAACAUUUUGAACCGCAUGGUUCGAAAUUGAAAGGCGGCUUCGGCUGUCACUUAUGGAUGGACCCGCGUCGCAUUAGCUAGUUGGUGAGGUAACGGCUCACCAAGGCAACGAUGCGUAGCCGAGCUGAGAGGGUGAUCGGCCACACUGGGACUGAGACACGGCCCAGACUCCUACGGGAGGCAGCAGUAGGGAAUCUUCCGCAAUGGACGAAAGUCUGACGGAGCAACGCCGCGUGAGUGAUGAAGGCUUUCGGGUCGUAAAACUCUGUUGUUAGGGAAGAACAAGUGCUAGUUGAAUAAGCUGGCACCUUGACGGUACCUAACCAGAAAGCCACGGCUAACUACGUGCCAGCCGCCGCGGUAA
rnacentral:rRNA from 1 species